UAAGCAUUUAGUUGUCUCACUUCAGUCGAAAGCGAUAAACAUGAAAUUCAUUUUCUUUGUCUACAUUCUGAUUCCUAUUUUUAGUUCGGUCAUGGGAAAAGCGGUGUAUGAAUGUAGUCUUCCAAGAGGAUCGGGGUUGUGCGCGAGACUGAACCAUACUUUCGCUUACGAUCCAGUCAAAAAGAAGUGCAUUCCAUAUGCAUAUGGUGGCUGCUAUGGCUUCGGAGAUCAUUUUGAUUCUAUACAAGCCUGUGAAUCCGCAUGCAAAGGAAAAUAAAUUUACCUGGUUAAACUGAAA